rnacentral:rRNA from 1 species
UACGGAGGGUGCGAACGUUAAUCGGAAUCACUGGGCGUAAAGCGCGCGUAGGCGGUUCGUUAAGUGGGAUGUGAAAUCCCCGGGCUUAACCUGGGAAUUGCAUUUCAAACUGGCCGACUAGAGUACGGUAGAGGGAGGUAGAAUUUCCUGUGUAGCGGUGAAAUGCGUAGAUAUCGGGAGGAACACCGGUGGCGAAGGCGGUUCUCCGGGCCUUACCUGACGCUGAGGAGCGAAAGCGUGGGGAGCGAACAGG